UACGGGGGGGGCAAGCGUUGUUCGGAAUUACUGGGCGUAAAGGGCUCGUAGGUGGCCAACUAAGUCAGACGUGAAAUCCCUCGGCUUAACCGGGGAACUGCGUCUGAUACUGGAUGGCUAGAGAUUGGGAGAGGGAUGCAGAAUUCCAGGUGUAGCGGUGAAAUGCGUAGAUAUCUGGAGGAAUACCGGUGGCGAAGGCGGCAUCCUGGACCGGCAUUGACGCUGAGGAGCGAAAGCUAGGGGAGCAAACGGG
rnacentral:rRNA from 1 species